UACGUAGGGUGCGAGCGUUGUCCGGAAUUAUUGGGCGUAAAGAGCUUGUAGGUGGUUUGUCGCGUCUGCUGUGAAAAUCCGAGGCUCAACCUCGGACUUGCAGUGGGUACGGGCAGACUAGAGUGUGGUAGGGGGAGAUUGGAAUUCCUGGUGUAGCGGUGAAAUGCGCAGAUAUCAGGAGGAACACCGAUGGCGAAGGCAGGUCUCUGGGCAUUAACUGACGCUGAGGAGCGAAAGCAUGGGGAGCGAACAGG
rnacentral:rRNA from 1 species